rnacentral:lncRNA from 1 species
GACUCACUCAUUCCCUCCUCCUUCAUUAGACUAGAGGUCCUCUGAGAGCAGGAACAGCAUUUAUGUCAUUUUUACAGUCCCAGCCCCCAGCGCAGGAUCUAUUACACAACAGGUGCAGGGCCAGGACACCUGGGCUCAAAUUCCACCUGUAUGAAGCUCAGACGAAUUACUCAACCUCUGUGCCUCUCUUUCUUCAUCUGUAAAGUGGGGAGAAAAGAGCCCCCCUAUUUGAGUGUUGAAGGGAUUCAGCGAAUUAACCCACAUAAGGGGCUUAGGAAGCAGAGGCAGGACCCUGGCAAAUGGUCAGUGCUUAGCAAACAUGAGCUACAAGUAGUAGUCAUUUGUUAUUGAUAUGAAACCCUGUCCUCGCGUUAAAGAAUCUUCAUAUAAAGGAGAUACUUUCUACUGAUCUUUAGGAGACUCCUUUAUUUAUUUAUUUAUUUGGUCUUUUGUCUUUUGAGGGCCACACCCGUGGCAUAUGGAGGUUCCCAGGCUAGGGGUCUACACCACAGCUCACAGCACGUGGGAUCCUUAACCCACUGAGUGAGGCCAGGGAUCGAACACGCAACCUCAUGGUUCCUAGUCGUAUUCAUUUCUGCUGUGCCACGACAGGAACUCCAGAGGAUACUCCUUUAAACAAAAAGACCCCCGGAAUUCCUGCUGUGGUGCAAGGGAUUGACAGCUUCUCUGCAACUCCAGGAUAUAGGUUCGAUCCCUGGCGGGUUAAAGGAUCCAGCACCACCACAGUUGCAGGAUAGGUUGCAACUCUGGCUCGGAUCUAAUCUUGGCCCAGGAACUCCAUGUGCCCCAGGACAGGCAAAAAAGAAAAACAAAAUCAAACAAAACCAAAAACCAAAAAACGAGGAAGACCCCAAACUUACUCAGUUUCCAUUAACAGGGGAGGAGUCAUUCACCAGCGGCCAUCUAACUCGCCUCUCUUCUUUCUCAGCAGCAAAGUAACAAUGAACAUCCUCCUCCUCCAGGAAGCCUUCCAGGAUUGGACUGCCUUAAGGAACUUCUUCCCACUGUCUUUCUCCAAGGUGUGGCUGGAGCUAAGAGGGAGCCUGGAGAGAGAAGACUUGUCCAAACAUCCCUGUUUUAAAUAUGGGUGGGUUAAAUCCAGGAUGCUCAGUUAA